GCCCUUGGAGGAUUUCUCUCUGCUUUUACAUAUUCUGUAUUUCAGGUUUUACUGCUGUUGAGACAGGUCAUCUAGCUGAUUUUUUUAUGCGACACAGAACCCUUCUGAGAGCAGUCUUUGCGACAGAGUAAUGAGUUUCCUUCCUGUUUCAGGCAGCUUUACCUACCUCAGGUUUCAUAAUCACAUGUCACCACAGAUCCAAGGGAGCCACCAGGUUUUUUUCACAACCUAUUUCACCACUCUCACUGGGGCUCCUCCCCAGUGGGUCAGGCUGUAGCAAUUUUAGGGGCAGUUUGCAAGGCCACAGAAGGAAAAGACCACCUGAUGCCAUGUCUCUGGGAAGGGUUAAGAAGGAGACAUAAUGGAAACAGAGCAGUGGGUGAGAGACAGAUAAUCUCUUCCUGCAUAUGCAUUGGAAACUCAAGAGCCAAAUACUUGUGUCUUUUCUGUGGCCAGAUUUUCCCCAGCAUGUAUGCUGGCACCAAGGAAACUUGCAAGAGUUUGAAAAGAGACUGAGCUGCAAAACAUUCCUCGAAGUCAGUUAUGGAAACACUUCCAAUGAAGAAUUACAUCAACAGCCAUGGAGACAAGAGCCCACAGGCCUUGAGAGAAAACCCAAGAAUUCCUCCAAGUUCAGGAAAAUCUAACUUCCUUCAGUAAUGACAAGCCUUUGGGGAAGGAAAAAGGCAGCAAUCAGAGAGGUUAACUACCAGCUCCUUCUGGUUAUUACAUAAGGAGAGAAUGCCACUGUGCCUGGGUAAGGGUUCCACUAGGAAGAAGAGACUAUGAAUCCAUAACAAAAGCAGUCCUCUUGAGGAAGGAGGAGCCAAAAGAAAAUAAAUCAGAUGAAUCAGUGCUUAUUGAUGUCUGCAUUCAUUACACGCAGAAGAAGCUGCAAAAUAGGCUGAAGAGAAACUCCCAGACAUGAAGUUCCUUUCCACAGCUGAGCUUUCUUCUGGCAGGUGGGGAUGCUCUCAUUUCCUAUCUUAUCCUAAACAUGUGCUGCCACUGCUCCCCUUGGGCUGCCUCUAGUGCUCAUUAAGUUCCUCAGUGAGCUCAUACAAAUUUUCAGCAUUGGCACCAAGCACAAACACAUAAAAUCACUGAAGCUUGUCCACAGGUCAUUCUUUGAAACUCCUCGGUUGGAAACUGCAGAGCUCCUCUCUAUCAGGGUCCUCCCCCCCUCCAUUAGUUUUGCCAUUCUACCGAUUAAAGCCAUGAAAAAACAAUCCCAAGGAGGGAGAUGCAAAGGAGCAGUAAUUGUAUUUAUACACUGGAUGCUCGAUUUUCUUCGGAAAACGCAGUAAAGAGAAGUAGAGGGGCGAAAGCCAGCUCUCAGGAGGCUCCCGGGGAAGCUCUCGGGAGCGGCCCCGGUGCCCGGGAAGGGCGGAGGGAGGCGGCGCUGGGAGCAGGGGCGGGACUGGAGAUUUCCAUACCGCUCUCCCAGAAGGCGCCGGGGCCUCCGAGCAGCAAGAAAAGGCUUUUUCCCGUGCUUAAAGGCUUGUCUUUGCAACAGUGGCUUUCAUCCCGCUGUCAGAAGAUAGGAACCCAAAUUCCAGGGCAGCAGGAAGCGAAGCCAGCAGUUUCAGGGCUAGCCAUAACCGGGAAGAUGUGAUUCUAGGGGAGGUAUAAAUACUCAUAGGGUAAAGCGUGUUUUUCGGCUGGUCCGAAGGUAGUGGGGUAUCUCAAUUGAUUGUUCACAGUCAGUUACAGAUUGAUCUCCUCGUUCUCUCUUUCCCCCCUUCCCACUACUGCACUUGACUAGUCUU